CCUAAUGUAAAUGAUGUGUCGACGGGUUUGCUGCACCCAUCAACCCAUCAUUUACAUUCGGUAUUUUGUAAUGUAUAGAUAUUUGUUACAUGUAUACCUCUGUAACAAACCUGCAGGUUCUGCACAUGUAUCCCAGAUCUUAAAGUAUAAUAAUAAUAAAAAAGAAACAUCUGUAUUAUGGAGAGUUGCUUUUUAAAGAAAAUCUCAGGAAGAAAGCAAGUGUUCUUGGGAGGGUCUACUCUCUAACACCCAUGUUGGAGAUGGACAAAUAUAAAAAUGAAGAGGGAAGAACUUCCCAAGAACAAGACUAGGGGUUUCCCAGAACAAUGAGUGAGAAAGACCAUCCCAUAGAGCAGAAUCAGGGCCUAACUAAGGACUUCCUGCAGUGUAGGAUAGAGAGCCUUUACAACGUCUGUGCAGUGGGACUUCUGAAUUGCCAAGGCCCAGUAACCACGGUGUGCCUCACAUUCUUUCUCUUUUCUAAUGGGAGUUAAUUGUGGUUAUCUUAUUAUUUCCCUGUAAUCGUGUGCAUGGUGAGUGGCCCUGGGUGUAGGGGGAAGAUAACUUUCCUUUUUCAUUACUAGGUCACCAAACUAGAGUAGCAAAAUCAGCUCCUGAUGGGGGUUGCUGCCCAUCACUCAGAGUCCCUGAGCUUGAGGCUGAAUGCUGUGUUGGGAUAGGAUUCGGAGGAAGGGUACAAGUGUGUUCUUUGUGUGAGAAGCAGAGUGAGAUUGCUAUUUGACAACCAGUAGGGCAGUCUGUGUGAAAAAGUGACUAAGGGCUCACCAAGCCUGAUUCCUCUUCUUCCUAGGCACAUAUCAAGACUGCAUUUCCCAGCCUUCCUUAGAGUUACCUGAGGCCAUGUGGCUGAGUUAUGGCCAAUGGAAUGCAAGUAGAAUAACCCCUAAAAUCCUGCACAAGAAAUAAACUUCUGUUGUUUUCAAUUAUAACAUUCUUGGGUCUGUUUGUUACCACAGCAGAAUCUAGCCUACCUAGACUAACACACUAGCAUUUGUACAUUACAAGUGUUUUGCUAAAUGUUCUAUGUAUAUUAACUCAUUUAACCAACAAAACCAAUCCAAUGAGGUAUGUACAAGUAUAAUGUAAUCUCCAUUUUACACUGAGGACACUGAAACAGAGAGCCCCAAGUCACACAAAUAAUAAAGGAGAAAUAGUUGUACUUGGGAGGGUCUACUCUCUAACACCCAUGUUGGAGAUGGCCAAAUAUGAAAAUAAACAGUGAAGAACUUCCCAAAGAUCAAGACUGGGGGCCUCCCAGAACAGUGAGUUAGAAAGAUCAUCUCAUAGAGCAGAAUCAUGGGCUAACUAAGGAAGCUAUCUUAUUUAUCUAAAAGAACAAGAGGUGGAAACUCUAACCACAAUGCUCUAUUACUUCUUGAGACAAAAGAUACUUUCUGUGUUACUUCCCUAGAAUUUUGGGGAAGGUCCCUGACAAUCUUGCUGAGGACAGCAUGUGCAGUAUUGGAGGCGUGAGCCAGUGUCUAAGGGACUGGGGUGUUCACAGGUGGACAUCUACCAGCUGCAUGCACUGGUGGCUCCAGAAUUUCUGAUUUAAGUGGCUAAAGGGCGGUCAAUGAAUUGGCCUGAGGCUUGAAAUGCAUAUACAUAGUAAUUUCCUUUAGAUACAGAAAAUGCCAAUAUUCUUUACUUGAGAAUGGGACUGGGAAAGCAACAGAGUUUGAGGGCCUGAAUCUCAGGUAUGCCAGCCCUGAGUACUUCCUAAUGCAUGUAGUCAAGCCCAACCUCAUCUCUCCCAACUUCUUGUCACACGCUGGAAGACCCACCCAAUCUAAACCCUGCCACCCUACCCUUUCUCACUUCUGUGAGCAGCUAGGUAGCCGAGUGGUGAGCAUGUCCUGCAUACAGGAGCCAAGUUUGAAUUCUGCAAUUUAUUGUCACUAGUAUAACCUCGAGCACAUCUAUAAUAAUACCUACCUAUGAAGACUAUCAUGAGGUAUCAAUGAAAUCAAUAAAUAUAAUAUAUUUUACAUAGUGCCAGGCUCAUAAUAUACAUUUAAACUAAAGAAAAAACUUUUAAUGUGUGAAAUUCCAGUAUUUUCAGCUUCAAACAUCUCGUUGGUGGCUUCUCACACCCAUAAGUGGGAGACAAAUCCUCUGCUGACCAUGCCUUCUGAUUUAGGGUGCAGAAAAGAGAGUCACUACAUAGCAGUUGGAAUGCACAUGAAAGAGGACUCAUCGGGGCCUGGAAUGGUCGGCAAAGCCUUUUGGAAGAAACUGCACUUGGAAUGCAGUUUGAAGGUGGAGAUGAUUGACCCCAGAAGAAAUGGAGUCUUCCUCUGUCACCCAGGCUGGAUUGCAGCGGCAUAUUGGCUUACUGAAACCUCUGCCUCGCAGGUUCAAGCAAUUCUCCUGCCUCAGCCUCCCAAGUAGCUGGGACUACAGACAGUUACUCAAUAGACUGAGCACUAUUUACUGAAUGAUCCUUUCUCUACUGCUGUACAGUGCUAGCUUGCAAGAUGGAAUGUCCAAAAUGUUUUCAAUCCACAAUUGGUUGCAGAACCUGAAGAUACAGAGGACUGACUAUACUUUCAAGAUUCAAGUGGUCAGAGCUGAGGGACUGCAGGCUGCACUGGUGGUGAUGGAGGGAGAUAAGAGAAUAAUGGUCCCUGCAAUCAAAGUUUUGAUAUGAAAAACCAAGUACAUGGCUCUGAAAUUCCAGAAUUCCUUGGUGUGGAGUUAGGAUUAGGAAGAAUCACAGCCAAAAACAACUAACAGUAACUCCCAUAGCAAUGCUCUAUAUCUAAGGUGUAGAUACAUCCAUCAUAUAUACGCUCUGGAGUGGUUUAUGACAUGGCCCUUAGAACCAUUCAUAAAGAGAUAAAUGACAGUGCAAAGCAGCCGGACUCAAUGGCCAGGAGGGGAGUUAGCAGUGAGUGCUCCUGGGGAGAUGCUGAGGCUGGGUGGGCAGAAGGUAUGCGAGGGGGGCCAACGAAGCCCUCAGUGGGCCUGAGUGAUAGUGUCCUCAGAAUUUCUCAGUGUGUGUGACUUCUGCAGUUUGACUGUCUCUAAGGGAAGUUUGGACGAUAAAGACAGCAUCUUUGGGUAAGAGGUAAGACACCAGACCAGUGUCCUUCAGGUCUGGGACCCCACAGAGCAACAGCUGGGAAAGUGUAGUGUUACUGCAGCUAGAGCAAUCAAAAUUCCAUUCCAGAAACGUGUCCCUUGCGAAUCUAGGUACCUGCUGCUCGCUCACUGUUCAAUGGAAGCAGAUAUUUCAGAGCGGGCAGCUCAGUGCUUCUCAUGCAUAGACAGGCUGCUUCCCACUUCGCCACCCAAGAAGCGCCUGGAAACGUGUGUGUGUGUGUGUGUGUGUGUGUGUGUGUGUGUGUGUGUGUGUUAGAGGCUACUAGUAUAAAGUGUCCAGGACCAGAGAUACUUAAUGGAACACAAGCUCCAUUCCUCAGAGCAAAUACGGACUCCACUAUAAAACAAUGUGCUUUGGACCCUGUCAAGAGGAAAUUCCCUUAAAAGAACUACAUAUACUUUAAGUUGGUUUCAGUUUGAAUGUUUAUAUUCCAAUGUUUCCUGCUUUUAAAUUUAAAAGCUCUUAAAGUUAGAAACUACAGAUUUGCAUAAAGAAAAUGACCAACAUAAUCCUUAUUCCUACUAUUUAUUAAUAUGUUGGCAUCUAUUAAUAUGUCAAUGUCUUUCCAUUUAUGAAAAGAAGACACAAUCACUGUGUCUUCAGUCAGCUCUUUUUAAUGACUACAUUGUGAAUCAUCUUCAUUGCCUUUUGUAUUCAGUUGCUGCCUAAUACUGUAUUUUAUGGCUGUACCAUUGUUUAUCCUCCAUUAUUAAAUAGCUUGGUGGCUUUUUUUUUUUUUUUGCUAUUAACACAAUGUGGCAAUUUAUCUUUUCUUCAGAAGGGUUUUUUAUUGUCAGAGAGCAAAAGGAUGUUUAACAGCUGAAAGGUAAGAGGGUAGGUAGGAGUGACAGGAGUUUAGGAUCUACAAUCAGAAUACAUUGCUUCAAGUCCCGACUCUGCCACUUACUAAUCAUGUGACCUUAAGCCAGUCAGCUCAAUCUCUCUGUGCCUCAGUAUCCUCAUCUGUAAUGUGAGAAUAACCAUACAGGACAGCACAGGAGAUUAACUGAGGAAAUACACCUGAAAAUACCUUUUAACUGUACCUCACUAUGAGAGAGAUGGGGGGAAACAUUAUCUUCCAUUUACUGUGAAUCUCUCAUAUGCCAGGCAUUUUCCUGCAUCUUACAUGCUUUAUUUUAUUUGAUCCUCACUGCAAACCUGUAAGGCAGGGGCGAUUUUUUAUUACCCACAUGUUACACAGAAAGGAAAUGAGACACAUGGAGGAUCCACCCCACCAUAGGCACAACAGUAUGAGUGGCAGAACAGCGAUUCAGACCCAGGUCUGCCGGACCCACAUCCCAGGCUCUGAGGUGGCUACGGGGCAGAAGAGAAGCGCACUCCACAGUGUGGCAGAAGGACAGCUCCAGAGCCUUCCAGACCCAGCUCCAGGGGAGACGAAGAGAAGCACUGGCUGGGGACAUUCCUGAGGCCAAAAAGCUUCUGACAGCCUGCUCACAGUCUUGAUUCAGGGGGUCUGUUAUUAGUCUUUAAAAUGGGGACCACAGUCCUCAUAUGUGUACAAUAUUUGUGCACUCCAGAGCGCUUUCCCUUCUGACAAUAGCUCUGUGCUGUGGGUGGGCAGGAAUCUCAUGAGGGAGCAGUGGCUCUUAAAGCAUCAUCCUACACCUCAGGACAGGGAAAACUGGAACUCUGGAUGCCUGAUCCCAAAUCACUUGAAGUUUGAAUAAUCCCACCUUAUUGGAAAAAAAAAAACCUGGCUUUUCUACUUGGUAUCUGUGUAACUUUGGGUAAUUAAUUUCAUUACUCAGAUUUUCAGUUUCUUCAUUUUUAAAAAGAGAUCAAAAACAGGAAUAAUGUUUAUGUCGAGGAUUGUCCUAAAAUCCAAAUGAGGUCACGGAGGACAUUAAAAAUGUCUACUGCUGUGUCCCUCCCACCUCUAAGGCGUGUACCCACACCAGCCAUCCAGCCCCUAGUAUGCCAUGACCUAUACCAUAUGCCCCUUCCCAUUCCACUGUAGGUGACUGGACUGAAGUGGGCAAUUAGCCUUGAAGGAAUUCAUCAAAUGCUGAACUGAAUCACUUGUAUUCUGCUUUUGAGAUUUUUUUUUCACUGAGAACUGAGUUUUUAAUUCUACUUAGCUUUCAUUAAUUUUAACUUAAUAGCCACAUGGAGCUAGGGGUGACCGUAAUGUGCAGCUAAAGGUUAUAAGUUUAUUCUCUGGGAAAAGUAAAACAGAAGUCAAAGAACAUUUAAACAAAUUGAGAGCUUUUCUUAUCAUGGGGAAAAUUGGCACACUAAAGAUGCCAUGGACUCCGAGAAAGGCCAAAAAAAAUAAAAUAAAAUAUGAGGAAAAGAAAUGGUAAUGCCUGGAGGGGCCCAUGUUAGCAGAAUUCAAUAUGAAAGUAUUAAAGAGAACUUCUGGUACUAUGAGGAACGAAAUAUUAGAAAUGUUUCGUACUAUAAAAUAAAGACAACCCAAUAAAGCAUACUUUUAAUUUUCUUCCAAGGCUUGCAAGAAAUUAUGUACUACUCUUGCACUACCACCUCCACCCCCCAAAAAGACCAGAACAUACAGCAAUAAGUGCCAAGCAUAGGUGAAAGGCACGGUUGCCCUGCUGGCAAUCAAAAGCCAGCUAGUGAGAUGGAGAGAUUAAGCCUGGGAUCCCAGCAGUGGGCUAAAGUUUUUAUAGGUGGGAACCCUUUGGCUCUCAACAACAAAAAAUCUCCUCUCUAGAGAAAAUCUUCCUCAGUUUGGGUCCUUAGAUUUCCAUGGAUUAAACAACAAUAUAUGAGCACUCAAUAAAAUAUAAUCAAUGAAAUAUAAUCAAACACACAAGAAAGAAUCCACUAUAAGCAAGAGGCACAAGAGAUGAGGUGUGCUAUAUUUCAACCUCUAAGAACUUUAAAUAUUGGAAUGGUAAUAUAUGAACUGUAUAAUAGUUAUUAUAAAAUUCAUUCAAAAAUAUAAAGUCACUAAAAUAUAUCAUUGCAUAUAAAAGAAUAAGCAUGCAAUGAUAGACUAUAAAAAAUGAAAUGGUAGAUUUGAAAAAGACUUAAACAUAACUUUUAGAAAUGAAAAAUGUUCUUAAAACAGCAGAAGAAGGAAUUAGUGAAGUGGAAAAUAGUGUUGAAAUUAAACAGAAUAUAGCACAGGAAAACAAGACGAUAAAUAAGAAAGAAGGAUCAAUAAUUAUUAUAGGUUUCAAAUAAAGAUAAUAGAUUGAACACAUACAUCUAAUCUUACUCCCUUCCCCAAACCUAUUAAAACUACAGCAAAGGGAUUUUAAACAAUCAUAUAAACCCACAAAUAUGGGCAAAAUAAGAUGGGACAACAGCAACAAACUUCUGGGAAAUGGAAGGCAAAUGAAGAACUGAUAACAGAGUUAUCAGAGCUAAGAAAACCAAAUUGGUGGUGGGGAAAGCAUUGAAGCAACUGAAUUUGCCCUGGAACACAACACAAAGGAAAAGUAAAAGAAAGAAUAUAAUAUAGUAAGGAGCAUAAAUUAGUAUAAUAGGAAUUAAAGAUAAAAUAGAGAACUACCAAAUCAAAAGUUCUUUAAAAAGACUAUUAAAAAUAGAUUAGUAAGAUUAAGAAAAGAGAAGGUAUAAAUAGGUAUGAACAAAGGAACACAGCUACAGAUAGGCAACAUUAAAUUUUAAGAUUUUAAAAAGACUUAAGUUUAAAAAAUAUUUUAAGUACAAAAAGAUAGUAAGAAUAAUUUACACUACUUUAUGUCUAUACAUUAGAAACAAUUUAGAAUGCCCAGAAAAAUAUAACUUAUUAAAGUGAUUGCAGAAGAAAUAGAAAAGCUAAAUAGCCUUAUAAUCAUUAAAUAAGUUGAAACAGUAGUCUAAAAUUUUUCUGCAAAGAAAAUAAAAAUUUCAAUAAUUUUAGUGACAUUAUUAUUGCAUUAAAUAAGAAAACAAAUGUUCAAGAAGAGCUAAGACAUUCUGAAGACAAACAGGAUUAAGGAAUGUGCUUUUCUAUAUUGCAAGUCUUAUUAAAAAGCUAAAGUAAUUAAAACAGUAUGGUUUUGAAGUAAGGAUAAUCAAAUUGACCAAUGGAACAGACUAAGAAGCCCCCAAACCUCUCUCUCGCUCUCUUUUUGUAUGUGUGUGUGUGUAUGUGUGUGUGUGUGUAUGUGUGUGUAUGUGUGUGUGUGU